rnacentral:rRNA from 1 species
UACGUAGGGUGCAAGCGUUGUCCGGAAUUAUUGGGCGUAAAGAGCUUGUAGGCGGUUUGUCGCGUCUGCUGUGAAAUUUCGGGGCUCAACCCCGAACUUGCAGUGGGUACGGGCAGACUAGAGUGUGGUAGGGGAGACUGGAAUUCCUGGUGUAGCGGUGAAAUGCGCAGAUAUCAGGAGGAACACCGAUGGCGAAGGCAGGUCUCUGGGCCAUAACUGACGCUGAGAAGCGAAAGCAUGGGGAGCGAACAGGA